rnacentral:rRNA from 1 species
GUUUAACAAAAACAUUUCUUUAAGUGAUAUUUUAAAGUAAAACCUGCUCAAUGAAUAAUUAAAAAGCCGCAGUAAUUUAACUGUGCUAAGGUAGCAUAAUCAUUAGCCUCUUAAUUAGAGGCUAGAAUGAAAGGUUUAACAUUUCCUUAACUUUCUUAGAAAUUAAUAUAAAACUUAUAUUAAAUAUAAAAAUAUAUUUAUAUAUUAAUUAGACGACAAGACCCUUUCAAACUUUACUGUAGUUUAGCUGGGGUAGCUAAAUAAUAAUUAUCUUAUUAAUAUUAAUUAAAUAGAUCCAAUCUAAAUUGAUUAAGUGAACAAGUUACUGAAGGGAUAACAGCAUAAUAAAUUUAUAUAGCUCUUAUUAAAAAAUUAGUUUAUGACCUCGAUGUUGAAUUAUUUUACUUUUACACGCAAGAGUGCGAGAAGUAGGUCUGUUCGACCUUUAAAUUUUUACAUGAUCUGAGUUCAAACCGGAGAGG